UAAUGGAUGAGCCGCAACCUCAACUAAUAAGGCAAAUCCAAAAUCCGGUGUUACAAAUUCAGUCGGUUAAAUCCAUGUUAUAUAGCAUCUUAGUCUUCUUCAAUCUUUGUGUGUGUGUGUGUUUUUUGUUUUGUGUUUAUAGGUUCGAAGCAGCCAUCAACAAUAGACACUUCCACUGCUUGUGUUCAAGCUUGAAUAAGUCACCGCUCUCAAUCAUCCAUCGCUACAAACAAUCCCCUAUUCUUCUCUUUCCCCACUGCUUUAUGUCGUCGCCUUUUUAUCUCAGGAAUAUAACGUUUAAAGGAAUGAGGGUUUGGAACGAUGGUAUUGUAUUAAUCAAUUUAUGUGUUCUUGGGUUAUGCCAUCACCACAUUGUGGUUCUGAUUGGUUCCCCUUCAUUGUAUAUGGUUAUCCAUCCUAUUUAAUUUUUGUUUUUGGAUAGCUUGAAGAAAAGGGCAAUUUUCGUGUUCCUCAAUCAUCACAGGUUGAAAUUCCUUUAUCCUUUGCAGGUUUAGUCACAAUCCCUCCUCUCCCUUUUUGAUUUAUAUGUUCUUUUUUUAUCUAAUCUAAUUGAAUCGAAAUUCGUCUCAACAUAAAUAUGUGUAAUCGAAAGUCACAUCUCCUCUACUAUCAAUCUCUGUAUUUAAACCCUCUAUUUGAAAAUCCCUAAACCCAUUAGUUUACCCUUUCAUUUUUAUUAACAUAAUAGGGUUCAAGAUAAUUUCGAUUAGCUAAUUUGUUAAUUCUUUAUCUCAUUUAAUUUUCAGGGGUGUCGUUUUUGUUGUUGCCUAAGCCGACCUUCUCCUCCCUGGUUGAAAGGCUUUCCAAGAAUUUUUGGAAGGACAUCCCUGAUAUUGCAUUGGGAUAAUGACUUAAAAGGGUAAUAUAUUUUUCGAUUUGUACACAUUUGGUCACUAAGUUUUUUUCUAUCCACAUUUACCCCUUCAACUUGUUAAACUGUACACAUCCAGUCCUUAUUACCGGUUACUCCAGGUUAGCCAGGAAAAAUGACUUAUUAGGGUAAUAUAUUUCUCAUAUAUUUUUAUACACAUUUAGUCCUUAAUUUUUUUGUUUCAAAAUAAGUCUCUUUUUCUUUUUGUACCCAUUCAGUACUUAUGAAUGAUUUAUUUAGGGUUUUUUCUCACGACAUCUAACGUGAGACUAUCAUUGAUGGGGUGUUUGAGGCUAUUGAUGUUUAUGUGCAUUGCAACCUCGACUGCUUGUUUGCAUAGGUUUUGUGGUUUGGCUUAGGUUUUGUGUUCUGAACGUCAUAACUUCUUCAUACGAUAUCUGAUUUUAACGAUCUUUAUAUCCAUGUGUUGGUUUUUUAAGUCUACUAUAACUUUCGUUAAGAUUACUCCCAUUAAAAUAUAAUAUGUUUUUA